UAUAAACCCUAAAGGCCGAAUGAUUGAGC
rnacentral:piRNA from 1 species